rnacentral:rRNA from 1 species
UGUGCCAGCCGCCGCGGUAAUACAGAGGGUGCAAGCGUUAAUCGGAUUUACUGGGCGUAAAGCGUGCGUAGCCGGCUAUUUAAGUCGGAUGUGAAAGCCCUGGGCUCAACCUGGGAACUGCAUUCGAUACUGGGUAGCUAGAGAUCGGUAGAGGGCGGCGGAAUUCCGGGUGUAGCGGUGAAAUGCGUAGAUAUCCGGAGGAACACCGAUGGCGAAGGCAACCGCCUGGGCCUGAUCUGACGCUGAGGCACGAAAGCGUGGGGAGCAAACAGGAUUAGAU